CGAAGAAGAACGAUGUCUAACCAUGGCUGCGUAACGUUUAAUGGUGGCAUGGUAUUAUUUUGUUCUUAUGAAAAUAUUGGGAUUGAAUAAAUGAAUGCCUGUAGGUUUGAUAUAUUCAUAGCCAACAGACACUAAAACUUUAAAUGUCAGCAAGAAAACACGCCGGUUUAUUAAUGUGAACUGCAGCAGAGCAGCAGCUGGCUGUGGGACUCCUGCUGACAACAGAGGCGUUUAAUAGAGGUUCCACUGCCCAUCCAGCAGCACCAUGCUCCUCCUGCGUUUCCGAUCACUGCUCGCUGGCUCCUCUGAUCAGUGUGACUCUUGAUGAGAUUUACGAAGAGACAAUAUUUGCAGUUUUAGUCCCUAACAAGAAUGACUGAAAGCGGACCAUUUUUCUUGAUCAUACAUACAACCCUGCCUAAACCUGUAACCAGAUGUCACUCUCUAAAUGAUAAAUAUUUUAAUUCAGAGACUAACACUAGACAACGAAUAAAUUGUAGUUGUUAAUAUUUUCUGAUGCUUUUCUGGAAUUAAAAAAUAUUCUUCUCUGA